GAGAUCCUUCAGACUUCAGUACUGAACCUGGACCCUCAGACACAAACUGCCAUUGGAACCUGACUCCUGCUACCGCUUCACUCCUGCCAUCCACCGAGCAGACAGCCAUCACUGGACCCCACCACUAGCUCCUUCCCAGAAACCACCUUCACCCCGUUCUCCAUCCUGGAAACCUGGACUUGCUUUUCCCCUUCGGAAACCUGGACUCGAUACUUGAGUACUUUAAAUAAAACCUGUUAAUUCACA